AAUCAACGCUGGCGGCGUGCCUCAGACAUGCAAGUCGAACGAUUAAAGCUCUCUUCGGAGAGUGCAUAGAGUGGCGCACGGGUGAGUAACACGUAAGUAAUCUACCUUCGAGUGGGGAAUAACGUCCGGAAACGGACGCUAAUACCGCAUAAUGCAGCGGCAUCGUAAGAUGACAGUUGUUAAAGAUUUAUCGCUUGAAGAGGAGCUUGCGGCAGAUUAGCUAGUUGGUAAGGUAAUGGCUUACCAAGGCUACGAUCUGUAACCGGUCUUAGAGGACGGUCGGUCACACUGACACUGAAUAACGGGUCAGACUCCUACGGAGGCAGCAGUCGGGAAUUUUGGGCAAUGGGCGAAAGCCUGACCCAGCAACGCCGCGUGAAGGAUGAAGUAUUUCGGUAUGUAAACUUCGCAAAACCUGGGAAGAACAUAAUGACGGUACCAGGUGUAAGCCACGGCUAAACUCUGUGCCAGCAGCCG
rnacentral:rRNA from 1 species